rnacentral:rRNA from 1 species
GACGAACGCUGGCGGCGUGCUUAACACAUGCAAGUCGAACGGAAAGGCCCUGCUUUUGUGGGGUGCUCGAGUGGCGAACGGGUGAGUAACACGUGAGUAACCUGCCCUUGACUUUGGGAUAACUUCAGGAAACUGGGGCUAAUACCGGAUAGGAGCUCCUGCUGCAUGGUGGGGGUUGGAAAGUUUCGGCGGUUGGGGAUGGACUCGCGGCUUAUCAGCUUGUUGGUGGGGUAGUGGCUUACCAAGGCUUUGACGGGUAGCCGGCCUGAGAGGGUGACCGGCCAAAUGGGGACGGGGAUACGGCCCAGACCCCUACGGGGGGCAGCGGGGGGGAAUUUUGCACAAGGGGCGGAAGCCGUAGGCAGAAACGCCGGGUGGGGGAGGACGGCCUUGGGGUGGUAAACCGUUUUCGCCUGUGACGAAGCGGGGGUGACGGUAAUGGGGAAAAAAGCACCGGCUAACUACGU